CUCCUCAACAAUUCUGCCCGGUACACAGGGAACAUCUGAAGCAGACAAGGCUGGCGGAGAACUCCGUGACUGACAUGAGAGGCUCGUAGCUGCCAGCCGCGCUGCAAGAAACGGCGCGGUACCCUUGAGGCAGACCCCUUCGCUUAGCCUUGAAAAGAAAGGUAGGAACAACUAUGGGUCUGCUUCAAAACUGCACCGGAGAAGUUUCUCGCAUGAUCACUCAACCGCAGAGAGAAGUACUGGAGGGAAAGCAAAGGGAUGCGCAAGAGGAGGAGCUCUCAGGGAAUUAAAUUUUAACACCUUUCUCAUUCUGAAGAGCCUUCCCAAACGCUCGGUUUUCCCUUUUAUCCACCGGCAGCCUGGGGAAGAGGCGCCACCUGUUCCCGAACCGCCAGGGAAGGAAGCGGGGCACUUGCCAGGAGAGCGGCAGGCUCCCGCCGGAGCGGACUCCUCAUCAUUCCUCUUCUCCAGCUAACUUCCAUCCCACCGGGAUCGCUACCGCCCAGGCGGCAGCAGGAGCUCCCCCCUCACCCCCUGGGGCACACCCCGUCCCGCACAGCUCCGGACAGAAAUGCUGAAUCACGACGCCGAGGAUACGGGACCGGGGGCGGCGAUGCCCAGGGGAGCUCCCCCUGACCCCCAGCCGGAGCUGGCUGCUUCCCUCCGCCCGGGCAGGGGUCCGGCAGAGGAGGAAGAGGAAGCCGGGCUGCGGCGGCGGCGGCGGGCACUUACUUGAAGAUGUUGGGCAGGGUCUGAAGGAAGCCCGGUGCAGUAGUCUCGAGUGUGACCUCUCCCAUCUCACAGCAAGGAGGAGCUGAGGCUGAGGGCAAGCUGACCUGCUCAUUUCUUCAUUUUCACUCUGAGCCAUCAAAUACAAGGAACAGAGUCUGGGUAGUCUGAAGUGCUGGAUGCUAGACCUACCUGAAGGAUCUCUUUUGUCCCAGUUUAGCUGCUGGCCCCACUUUAUUUUUUGGAUGCAAUAUACACCACAAAAGGUUUGCUGAUUUGUUAUCCCCUGGACAGAAAGUUUAUCAGCCUAACCACAGAGAACUGGCAUAUAUUGGUUUGUAUUGGUUUGUCAUGAAACCAUAGCAGUGAACAUGAGCUCACUUACCUGCUGAACCUGCAAGGACACCUCUGUGUUUUUCCCUCCACUGCUGCAGAGCCACCAACUUUGCUCAGCAUCUGCCCAGCAACCACCCAGAGGGAUCCAAAGCAAGUAUCACAGAAUGGUUUGGGUUGGGAUGAACCAUAAACAUCAUCUAGUUCCAGUCCCCCUGCACAGGCACA